ensembl:snRNA U6 U6 spliceosomal RNA
GUGCUUGUUGCUUCAGCAGCACAUAUACUAAAACUGGAAUGAUACAGAGAGGACUAGCAUGGCCUCUGCACAAGGAUGGCAUGCAAAUUCGUGAAGUGUUCCAUAUUUUU